rnacentral:rRNA from 1 species
GCAGGUUGAAGCGCGGGUAAGACCGCGUGGAGGACCGAACCCACCUGGGUUGAAAACCGGGGGGAUGACCUGGGGCUAGGGGUGAAAGGCCAAUCAAAUUCCGUGAUAGCUGGUUCUCUCCGAAAUGCAUUUAGGUGCAGCGUCGGUCGAUUGCGUCGCGGGGGUAGAGCUACCGGAUGCUUGCGGGCCCUUGUUGGGUACCAACAGCAGCCGAACUCCGAAUACCGUUGACGUGUAUUCCGGCAGUGAGUCGGCGGGGGAUAAGCUCCGUCGUCGAGAGGGAGACAGCCCAGACCGUCGUCUAAGGUCCCGAAGCGUGUGCUAAGUGGGAAAGGAUGUGGAGUCGCAUAGACAGCCAGGAGGUUGGCUCAGAAGCAGCCAUCCUUGAAAGAGUGCGUAACAGCUCACUGGUCUAGUGGUUCCGCGCCGACAAUGUAGCGGGGCUCAAGCACACCACCGAAGACGCGGCAGCAAUCUUCAUGGUUGCUGGGUAGGAGAGCGUCCUGCGAGGGGCGAAGCGGCCGGGUAACCGUGCCGUGGACUUCGUGGGAGUGAGAAUGCAGACAUGAGUAGCGAGAGACGGGUGAGGAUCCCGUCCGCUGGAUGACCAAGGGUUCCGGGGCCACGUUCGUCGUCCCCGGGUGAGUCGGGUCCUAAGGCGAGGCCGACAGGCGUAGUCGAAUGGAUGAACGGGUGGAUAUUCCCGUACCGACCAUGGACCGGCAAAACCGAGACGGUGAGUACUAACCUCCGCCUCGUGGUGGUUCCUUCCUUCGGGUUGGUUCCGCCGCGUGGUGUUGGGAGCGUAGCCGUAGUAGGUCAGCGCAGGGGUGACACGGAAUGGGAGCCGGCCGCGGAGGUGGUUUUCCGUGGUCAAGCACGCAGCCCGUCCCAUAGGCAAAUCCGUGGGGCAUGCAGGGUGAGGUGCGAUGAUGGGCGCCUUUCAGGCGCGAUAUCCGGUGGUCCAGGCCGUCGAGAAAAGCCUCGGCGCGAGGGGCGUUGCCGCCCGUACCCCAAACCGACACUGGUGGUCAGGUAGAGAAUACCAAGGCGAUCGAGCGAAUCCUGGUCAAGGAACUCGGCAAAUCACUCCCGUGCCUUCGGUAUAAGGGAGACCCGCUGGGGUGAACCGGCUAGCCCGGGGAGCUUUGGUGGGUGGCACAGACCAGGGGGUAGCGACUGUUUACCAAAAACACAGGUGCAUGCGAAGGCGCAAGCCGCUGUAUAUGCACUGACGCCUGCCCGGUGCCGGAAGGUUAAGAGGAUCCGUCAAUCCCUUCGGGGACGAAGCGGUGAAUUCAAGCCCCGGUAAACGGCGGUGGUAACUAUAACCAUCCUAAGGUAGCGAAAUUCCUUGUCGGGUAAGUUCCGACCUGCACGAAUGGCGUAACGACUUCCCCACUGUCUCGACCAGGAGCUCGGCGAAAUUGCAGUACGAGUAAAGAUGCUCGUUAAGCGCAGAAGGACGAAAAGACCCCGGGACCUUUACUAUACCUUGGUAUUGGCGUUAGGCGCGGAUUGUGUAGCAUAGGCGGGAGGCUUCGAAGCGGUGGCGCCAGCCAUCGUGGAGCCGCAAGGUGAAAUACCGCUCUGUUCUCGUUUGACGUCUCACCUCGAACAGUCAUCCUGUUCAGGGACAGUGCCUGGCGGGUAGUUCAACUGGGGCGGUUGCCUCCCAAAGAGUAACGGAGGCGCUCAAAGGUCCGCUCAGCCCGGUUGGCAAUCGGGUUUCGAGUGUAAUCGCACAAGCGGGCUUGACUGCGAGAACGACGGUUCGGGCAGGGACGAAAGUCGGAGAUAGUGAUCCGGUGCCGGCGCACGGGCGCGGCAUCGCUCAACGGAUAAAAGGUACCCCGGGGAUAACAGGCUGAUCAUUCCCAAGAGUCCAUAUCGACGGGAUGGUUUGGCACCUCGAUGUCGGCUCGUCGCAUCCUGGGGCUGGAGCAGGUCCCAAGGGUUCGGCUGUUCGCCGAUUAAAGCGGCACGCGAGCUGGGUUCAGAACGUCGUGAGACAGUUUGGUCUCUAUCCUCUGCGCUCGUUGGAAUCCUGAGGAGGCCUGCCCAUAGUACGAGAGGACCUGGGUGGACGAACCUCUGGUAUGCCGGU